UAUGUACUCCCUCCAUCCGGAAAUACUUGUCGGAGAAAUGGAUGUAUCUAAACGUAUUUUAUUUCUAGAUACAUCUAUUUUUAUGCAUUUCUACGACAAGUAUUUCCGGACGGAGGGAGUAUAAA
rfam:Triticum aestivum genome assembly, contig: Triticum_aestivum_CS42_TGACv1_scaffold_251397_3DL